CCCUUGUGGAGGAGGACGCCGAAGGUGGGGCUAAUGACUGGGGUGAAGUCGUAACAAGGUAGCCGUACCGGAAGGUGCGGCUGGAUCACCUCCUAACAGGGAGACAACAAAAUGUUUAAUAUUAUUAUUUUGUCACCUUAGGUCGAUCGGUAUCUCACGUUCUUAAUUUUUUAAGAAUUUCAUUUCCUAAGUUUUUCUAGGUCACACCCAUUAUUUUUCCUGGGCCAUUAGCUCAGGUGGUUAGAGCGCACCCCUGAUAAGGGUGAGGUCCCUGGUUCAAGUCCAGGAUGGCCCAUAUCUCUAUGUUGGGGGUAUAGCUCAGUUGGUAGAGCGCCUGCUUUGCAAGCAGGAUGUCAGCGGUUCGAGUCCGCUUACCUCCACUGAUUACCACCUCUUCCAUAUUUUGUAGAAAGGAAAUUUAUUGAGUUUUGAUCAAAUUCUGAACGAAUCUAGCUUCCUAAUGAAUCCAUUAAGAUGCUGGACUCAUUGAAUUAAUUUCAUUGUUUUCAGAGAACCUUGACAACUGCAUAGAUUAUUUUUUAAAGACAAAAAGCAUCUUUAAUGAUGCAGAUUUAUUAUUUGUGCGAAUGCAUUAAUAACAAUUCUAUUAAGCUGAUGCUUCAAUUUUGAAGUUAUUGGUCAAGCUACAAAGGGCUCACGGAGG
rnacentral:misc_RNA from 1 species